AAGUCGUAACAAGGUUUCUGUAGGGGAACCUGCAGAAGGAUCAUUUGAAAGGUGCCAUCGGGCAUGCCAAGUGUGACCAAGGACCGUCUUGCAAAAGACAUGCUAUGUAUCGUGUAGGGAAAGGAAAAGAAAAAACAACUUUCAGCGAUGGAUCUCUUGGCUCUCA
rnacentral:misc_RNA from 1 species